GAGCAUUUACAUGAAAAGGUUAAUCCACCAGUUCUAUAAUUUAGUUCUUCAAAAAGUACUUAAAUAAACUGGUGGCAUAUCGCAAGUCUAUAAUUUGUAUAUGAUCUGUCUUUUAUUGUUUUAUGGUGAAUCAUUGAUCUGUCUUUGUAUAAAUUGGUGGCAUAUCGCAAGUCUAUAAUUUGGCGGCAACCCGUUUUGAUGGUAGUGUAGCAUUAAAUACUGAUGUAAUUGAGAGAAAAGGAUGACCUGGAGGUCGCAAACUUGAAGGAUUAUUCAACAACGGUGCUAAAGAAAGAAAACAAUGUAGCGACUUCACCAACGACAAUUGCCACCUUAACUGAUACUACACUUGCAGUGACUCCCGGUAUCAGCAGUGAAGACGCCACAUCAGAAGAUGAAAG
rnacentral:lncRNA from 1 species